rnacentral:rRNA from 1 species
UACAGAGGGGGCAAGCGUUGUUCGGAAUUACUGGGCGUAAAGGGCGCGUAGGCGGCCUGUUAAGUCGAACGUGAAAUCCCCGGGCUCAACCCGGGAACUGCGUCCGAUACUGGCAGGCUUGAAUCCGGGAGAGGGAUGCGGAAUUCCAGGUGUAGCGGUGAAAUGCGUAGAUAUCUGGAGGAACACCGGUGGCGAAGGCGCCGUUGCUGGCC